AGUGGGGGGGGUCGUAAUUAAUUGACGGGGGUCCCCCCAUAAUUAAUGGGUGGGGGUUUACUCGUUAAGUUAAUGAAUGGGGGGGGGUUAAUUAAUUAAUGAGGGUCCCAUUAAUUAAUGGGGGGGGUCCCAACUCACGUCUUAUCGACUGCCUUAAAGGUCCCUCGUCCUCAUCGGGUUCCCCAGUCCUGGAUGGGGGGAGGACACCAGUAAAUCCCAUUAAAUCCCAUUAAAUCCCAUUAAAUCCCAGUAAAUCCCAGUUACACCCCAGUCCAUCCCAGUCCCUCCCAGUCCAUCCCAGUGCCCCCCAGUUCCAUCCCAGUUGCUCUCAUUCCCUCCCAUUCCCUCCCAGUUUAUCCCAGUCCCCCCCAGUAACCCCAGUAACCCCCCCCAGUCCCUCCCAGUUUAUCCCAGUUACCCCAUUAAACCCCCAGUUUCCUCCCAGUCCCUCCCAGUCCCUCCCAGUUCUCCCAGUUAUCCCAGUAACACCCCCCAAGUCCCUCCCAGUUUAUCCCAUUCCCCCCCAGUCCCCCCCAUUCCCUCCCAGUUACCUCAGUAAACCCCCCCAGUCUCUCCCAUAUCCCUCCCAUUCCCUCCCAGUCCAUCCCAGUAACCCCCCAGUUUAUCCCAGUUUAUCCCAGUUUAUCCCAGUCCCAUCCCAGUUUAUCCCAGUUUAUCCCAGUUUAUCCCAGUCCCAUCCCAGUUUAUCCCAGUCCCAUCCCAGUUUAUCCCAGUCCCAUCCCAGUUUAUCCCAGUUUAUCCCAGUUUAUCCCAGUUCCAUCCCAGU
ensembl:lncRNA